rnacentral:rRNA from 1 species
GACGAACGCUGGCGGCGUGCCUAAUACAUGCAAGUCGAACGCUGAAGAGAGGAGCUUGCUCUUCUUGGAUGAGUUGCGAACGGGUGAGUAACGCGUAGGUAACCUGCCUUGUAGCGGGGGAUAACUAUUGGAAACGAUAGCUAAUACCGCAUAACAAUGGAUGACACAUGUCAUUUAUUUGAAAGGGGCAAUUGCUCCACUACAAGAUGGACCUGCGUUGUAUUAGCUAGUAGGUGAGGUAAUGGCUCACCUAGGCGACGAUACAUAGCCGACCUGAGAGGGUGAUCGGCCACACUGGGACUGAGACACGGCCCAGACUCCUACGGGAGGCAGCAGUAGGGAAUCUUCGGCAAUGGGGGCAACCCUGACCGAGCAACGCCGCGGGAGUGAAGAAGAUUUUCGGAUCGUAAAGCUCUGUUGUAAGUCAAGAACGGGUGUGAGAGUGGAAAGUUCACACUGUGACGGUAGCUUACCAGAAAGGGACGGCUAACUACGUG